UGGGCUGUCGCCAAGUGGUAAGGCACCGGUUUUUGGUACCGGCAUUCGUUGGUUCGAAUCCAGCCAGCCCAGCCA
rnacentral:tRNA from 1 species